GGCAGUUCUCGGGUGAUGCACCCCAGAAUCAGGCUCCCUCCUCUCUGGUUCCUGGUGCGUCACCUGAGAACUGCA
rfam:Myotis lucifugus cont2.18594, whole genome shotgun sequence.